CAUUGCAAGACUAGGACAUUUUUGUCAUCUUAUUUCAUAUUCAGCAUAUACAGAAAAUGGAGGCGAAGAAGAGCAGAGCAGAGCAGAGGUAAUUUAUAUAUGUAUUGUGAAAGUUCAAAGAGAUGAGCGAGGAAAUGAAGGAGGAGACGGGGACGAGACAGAGCAUGGGAUGGACCUUUCAACACCAUACAUGGUUUUGUUGCCCUUUCCAUGCACUGCCUCUUCCCUGGCUCCUCUCUCUCUCUCUCUCUCAAUUUCAUUUCUAUGUUGCUGGUGUGAAAGCCAUAUCAUGUACACCAAAAAAUUACUGAUGCUUUAUAAUCAUGAUUUAUAGGAUUUGUGUAAAAGUCUCACUCUGUUUAUGAAUCAGAUGCCAAACAUAUUAAAUUAUUACUGUGUCUCACUGAUUAGGGA
rnacentral:precursor_RNA from 1 species